UACGAAGGGGGCUAGCGUUGUUCGGAAUCACUGGGCGUAAAGGGCGCGUAGGCGGCGCGACAAGUCAGGCGUGAAAGCCCCGGGCUCAACCCGGGAAUUGCGCUUGAUACUGUCGUGCUUGAGGCCGGGAGAGGAUGGCGGAAUUCCCAGUGUAGAGGUGAAAUUCGUAGAUAUUGGGAAGAACACCAGUGGCGAAGGCGGCUAACUGGUCCGAUACUGACGCUGAGGUGCGAAAGCGUGGGGAGCAAACAGG
rnacentral:rRNA from 1 species